ensembl:snoRNA SNORD42 Small nucleolar RNA SNORD42
GUGCAGAUGAUGUAAAAUGUAUAUUGACUGAAUACCUAUGAUGUAUACAAAGGAACCACUGAUGCCA